rnacentral:piRNA from 1 species
UUCUUCCUGAGGCCCAAGCAA